AUGAGUCUACCGCUUACAAGAAAAGAUCUCAUGAUAGUCAAUAUGGGCCCUCAACACCCAUCAAUGCAUGGUGUUCUUCGACUGAUCGUUACUCUCGAUGGUGAGGAUGUUAUUGAUUGUGAACCCAUAUUAGGCUAUUUACACAGAGGAAUGGAAAAAAUCGCGGAAAACCGAACUAUUAUACAAUACUUACCUUAUGUAACAAGGUGGGAUUAUUUAGCUACUAUGUUUACAGAAGCAAUAACAGUAAAUGCACCAGAAUUCUUGGAGAAUAUUCAAAUACCACAAAGAGCCAGCUAUAUUAGGGUAAUUAUGUUAGAAUUAAGCCGGAUAGCUUCUCACUUGCUAUGGCUUGGACCUUUUAUGGCGGAUCUCGGCGCACAGACUCCUUUUUUCUAUAUUUUUAGAGAGAGAGAAUUAAUAUAUGAUCUAUUUGAAGCUGCUACAGGUAUGCGAAUGAUGCACAGUUACUUUCGAAUCGGAGGAGUAGCCGCCGAUCUACCUUAUGGAUGGAUCGAUAAAUUUUUAGAUUUCUGUGAUUAUUUUUUACGCGGAGUUGUUGAAUAUCAACAACUUAUUACACAGAAUCCAAUUUUUUUAGAGCGAGUUGAAGGAGUAGGUUUUAUUAGCGGAGAAGAAGCAGUAAAUUGGGGCUUAUCGGGACCGAUGUUACGAGCUUCUGGAAUACAAUGGGAUCUUCGUAAAGUAGAUCCUUAUGAGUCUUACAACCAAUUUGAUUGGAAAGUCCAAUGGCAAAAAGAAGGGGAUUCGUUAGCUCGCUAUUUAGUACGAAUUGGUGAAAUGAGGGAAUCCAUCAAAAUAAUUCAACAAGCUGUAGAAAAAAUUCCUGGAGGACCUUAUGAGAAUUUAGAAGUCUGACGCUUUAAGAAAGAAAAGAAUUCUGAAUGGAAUGAUUUUGAGUAUAAAUUUCUUGGUAAAAAACCUUCGCCCAAUUUUGAAUUGUCAAGACAAGAGCUUUAUGUAAGAGUAGAAGCCCCAAAAGGUGAAUUAGGGAUUUAUCUAGUAGGAGAUGAUAGCCUUUUCCCCUGGAGAUGGAAAAUCCGUCCACCCGGGUUUAUUAAUUUGCAAAUUCUUCCUCAGCUAGUUAAAAAAAUGAAAUUGGCUGAUAUCAUGACGAUAUUAGGUAGUAUAGAUAUCAUUAUGGGGGAAGUUGAUCGUUGA
rnacentral:rRNA from 1 species